UACGUAGGGUGCGAGCGUUAAUCGGAAUUACUGGGCGUAAAGCGUGCGCAGGCGGUUGGCCCGUGUCCGAUGUGAAAGCCCCCGGGCUUAACCUGGGAAUGGCAUUGGAAACUGGCUGGCUGGAGUGUGGCAGAGGGGGGUGGAAUUCCACGUGUAGCAGUGAAAUGCGUAGAGAUGUGGAGGAACACCGAUGGCGAAGGCAGCCCCCUGGGCCAACACUGACGCUCAGGCACGAAAGCGUGGGGAGCAAACAGG
rnacentral:rRNA from 1 species